rnacentral:rRNA from 1 species
UCUGGGAAACUGCCUGAUGGAGGGGGAUAACUACUGGAAACGGUAGCUAAUACCGCAUAAUGUCGCAAGACCAAAGUGGGGGACCUUCGGGCCUCAUGCCAUCAGAUGUGCCCAGAUGGGAUUAGCUAGUAGGUGGGGUAAUGGCUCACCUAGGCGACGAUCCCUAGCUGGCCUGAGAGGAUGAUCAGCCACACUGGGACUGAGACACGGCCCAG